GCUGGAUGGCUCAGCUGGUAGAGCACCAUGUGCAGAGCUGUAGUUCUCGACGUGGUUGUCCUGGGUUCGAUUCUUGGUCUUGGGCCU